UACGUAGGGUGCGAGCGUUGUCCGGAUUUAUUGGGCGUAAAGAGCUCGUAGGCGGUUUGUCGCGUCGGCCGUGAAAUCUCCACGCUUAACGUGGAGCGUGCGGUCGAUACGGGCAGACUUGAGUUCGGUAGGGGAGACUGGAAUUCCUGGUGUAGCGGUGAAAUGCGCAGAUAUCAGGAGGACACCGGUGGCGAAGGCGGGAUCUCUGGGCCGAUACUGACGCUGAGGAGCGAAAGCGUGGGGAGCGAACAGGA
rnacentral:rRNA from 1 species